GACAGAGGGUGCAAACGUUGCUCGGAAUCACUGGGCGUAAAGGGCGUGUAGGCGGGCAGGUAAGUCGGGCGUGAAAUCCCUGGGCUCAACCCAGGAACUGCACUCGAAACUACUUGUCUUGAGUGUCGGAGAGGAAAGCGGAAUUCCUGGUGUAGAGGUGAAAUUCGUAGAUAUCAGGAGGAACACCAGUGGCGAAGGCGGCUUUCUGGACGAUAACUGACGCUGA
rnacentral:rRNA from 1 species